rnacentral:rRNA from 1 species
AUUGAACGCUGGCGGAAUGCUUUACACAUGCAAGUCGAACGGUAGAGGGGGCAUCCCCUCGAGAGUGGCGAACGGGUGAGUAAUAUAUCGGAACGUGCCCAGUCGUGGGGGAUAACGUAGCGAAAGUUACGCUAAUACCGCAUACGAUCUAAGGAUGAAAGCGGGGGAUCGCAAGACCUCGCGCGAUUGGAGCGGCCGAUAUCAGAUUAGGUAGUGGGUGGGGUAAAGGCUCACCAAGCCAACGAUCUGUAGCUGGUCUGAGAGGACGACCUGCCACACUUGAACUGAGACACGGUCCAGACUCCUACGGGAGGCAGCAGUGGGGAAUUUUGGACAAUGGACGCAAGUCUGAUCCAGCCAUUCCGCGUGCAGGAUGAAGGCCCUCGGGUUGUAAACUGCUUUUGUACGGAACGAAAAGGUCUCUCUUAAUACGGGGGACUCAUGACGGUACCGUAAGAAUAAGCACCGGCUAACUACGUGCCAGCCGCCGCCGUAA